CUGACCUUCACAGCUGUUCUGCUCCAAACGAAAUGGAUGGCCAAGCUCCAAACAAUCUGUACUUCACCAGUCCAUUCUGCACUUAUUGACUUUAAGGUUGUGAAUCAUAUUUAGGCAUUUAGUGGAACAUGGCAUGGCACUCAACACACACACACACACACACACACAUGGCUCAACAAAAUGAAAAAAGACGUCUUUUUUUGAGUAUUAUUAUGAUUGUAGUCAUUACCAGCGAAUAAUACGCUUCAGUGUAUUCGAGUGGCCACUUACAGCGCUCGCUGUGUGAGCAUUUAUGUUCAGAUUUGUCUGAACAGAACAGGAUGUUGCAAAACAUUCAGGCGCCUCUCAACACUCAGCAUGAACCAAAUGCAAACUCUUAGUGGUUUGUUACGAAACUCAUGCUGCACUUGGCAUAUCUGGCAGAGAGAAGGGGCGCUGCAAAAAUGAAACUAAACAUUAAUUGGGGCUUUUUCCUACUAAUUAGCUGUAGAGGGUAUAAUUGCAAUGGCAGUUCAUAUACAGUUAGUUGUGCUGCUCUGAUCAUGUGCAGAUUGUGAAGUCGCAGUAGUGCAGUAGCCAGAAAAACAUUGGCUAUGUUUCAAAAACUGAAUCAGAGUCCGAAUCAGGAUGAUGUUUUAUUGGCCAAAUACAUUUACGCAUGUAUAAGUCUAUGUAAAUAUGACCAAUGGCCAAAUUUCUGGAGUUUAGCAGAGUUUAGCGUUCUUUAUCGUGCAGUCAUUGGUGUAGACGGAGAAGACCAAUGGGGAAAGCAUGCAUCCAUGAGACUUACUGGCAAUACUGAUGGACAGGGUUCCAGAUUUGAGUUCCCCAAGCCAACAUCAUACUAAUCAGAAAGUUGGAGAUCCAGCGAAAGGUGGAGGAAGGUGCGGUAAAAUCGGAAGUUUUAAAGUGUACUGUACACUGUAGUUCAUCUAUUGUCACUACAAUAGUAGUCGGUACACAGUGUUUGGACGCACACCGAUUACAUCGCUUGCUGACUGACGGGAAGAUUGAGGCGAGCUGACUGACGGGAAGAGUGAGGCGAGCUGACUGACGGGAAGAUGGAGGCGAGCUGACUGAAGGGAAGAGUGAGAUGAGCCGACUGACAGGAAGAGUGAAGCGAUCUGACUGACGGGAAGAGUGAAGCGAUCUGACUGACGGGAAGAGUGAAGCGAUCUGACUGACGGGAAGAGUGAAGCGAUCUGACUGACGGGAAGAGUGAAGCGAUCUGACUGACGGGAAGAGUGAAGCGAGCUGACUGACGGGAAGAGUGAAGCGAUCUGACUGACGGGAAGAGUGAAGCGAUCUGACUGACGGGAAGAAUGAGAUGAGCCGACUGACAGGAAGAGUGAAGCGAUCUGACUGACGGGAAGAAUGAGAUGAGCCGACUGACAGGAAGAGUGAAGUGAUCUGACUGACGGGAAGAGUGAAGCGAUCUGACUGACGGGAAGAGUGAAGCGAUCUGACUGACGGGAAGAGUGAAGCGAUCUGACUGACGGGAAGAGUGAAGCGAUCUGACUGACAGGAAGAGUGAAGCGAUCUGACUGACGGGAAGAGUGAAGCGAUCUGACUGACAGGAAGAGUGAAGCGAUCUGACUGACGGGAAGAAUGAGAUGAGCCGACUGACAGGAAGAGUGAGGUGAGUUUGUCAUUGUACGGCUUUGUUGUUGUUUGUCGUUCCUUUCAUUAAGAAUAAUAAUGAACCAGGGACAUGCAGAGAGUUCCUCAGGGACAGGGGUUCAAAUGUGAAAACAAGGGCUAUAUCACCAAAGAGCUAAUUUGCCUACUUUACUACUUUAACUACGUUAAUACUUUAUUAACUUUUAUUUAACUACAUUUAAAUUUAAAUUGAUUCAUAUAGCAGAAGCUUUUCUCCAAAGCGACUUACAUAUCCUUAUCCCCUGGUUGACAUUGUAAACAGACUGUGUGUGGUCACAAUAAUGAAUAUGAGAAUGACACUAC
ensembl:lncRNA